rnacentral:lncRNA from 1 species
GCUAGGGGUCGAAUUGGAGCUGGAGCCACCGGCCUAUGCCAGAGCCACAGCAACUCGGGAUCCAAGCCGCGUCUGCAACCUACACCACAGCUCACGGCAACGCCGUAUCCUUAACCCACUGAGCAAGGGCAGGGAUCGAACCCGCAACCUCAUGGUUCCUAGUCGGAUUCAUUAACCACUGCGCCACGAUGGGAACUCCAGGGACUGAAUUUGAGCCACAGCUGUGACCUAUGCCACAUCUGCAGCAAUACCUGAUCCUUAUUAACCCACUGUACCAGACUAGGGAUCGAACCUGCACCACUGCAGAGACAAUGCUAUACCCCCAACCUCCUGUGCCAGAGCAGAAACUUCAUAUGCCUUUCAUUUAAAAAUUUUAUCCAUGAGUCAGUAAACUUAGUAAUACAAACUCACUGGUUUAUACUCAGUUUAUAUUUUUCCCCAAAUUGUGUUUCUGGCAAAUGGACAGGUUGAGUUUACCUACUCAAUAUGAGGGCUAAUUCUUUUUACCAAUAUUUGUGGAGCAGUUUUCUAAGAUUUUCAUUUACCCUGAUAGGUACACAGCAUUUAUGGAGGCUGAGAACCACUUCUAAUGACUGUCUGGAUGUUGCUGAAGCUCAUGAGUGGAUAAAAUACUCAGCCUCUGCAAUUAGCCUUUUUCCUUUUCAGGUAGCUGCUUUUGGGGGACCUCUCAUCUCUUGACAGCAGGGGCCUAAAGUUCAAGUGGCUGAGGGGCUGGGGUAGAAAAAGGUCUGGCAGAGUUGGACCAAGGAUGGAGGAGGCAGUGGCUUAAAGUGGGGUCAAAGCAAUGGUAAGGAAGCGAUUGUCAAGGGGCCAGCAUGGGGAGAACUCAAGUCUCCUAAAGAACCCAAUGAAAGGAGUUCCUGUUGUGAUGCAGCUGGUUAAGGAUCUGUGGCUGUAGAGUAGGCCUCUGGUGGUCUAGAGGUAAGGAUGCGCUGCUUUCAUCACUGUGGCCCAGAUGUAAUUCCUGAUCUGGGAAUCGAGAUUCCCACGUCAAGUUGCUGCAUGCCACAAGUCAAACCUCCCACCCCAAACCAACAACAAACAAAACAGAAACACCCCAAAGGCAUAUCUAUGCCCACUGACUCAAAACUGAAACGAGUUAAGACUUUUAUGACGUUACAGUGGACACGAGAGGGCUCCCCAAAGAGGGUGCAAAGAUGCAUGCAGUCCUCCCAGGAUCCGGAGCCACUCCCAAAGGGAGCUAAGAGAAAGGACUCAUUGUUUUCCGCAGACAGCUGGGAACAACUGGUAGGACGUUGGCUCCAGCGGGGUGCAGCCUACAUUUCCACGCAGCCAUAUUCUCAGGGCUCCCACCCGAUAGUUGGCCUCCUGAACAGGCAAGAACUGAUUGUCACACUUUGGCAGGAGGAAAGCCACGCCAAGCUCCCAAGGACACAAAUCGAGACCAAUAGGAAAGCAAGAUCAAUAACCAGUGGGCCCCCCAAAUCAAAUUUGACCAGUGUCACAAUCCAAAGAAUUCCUUAUGGCAAAAUGUUUUCCUUCUAGUAAUCUGAAUCUGAAAAGGAAGCGACAGGGAGAUGUUUCUUUCUUUUCCUCUGUCAACUGGGCCCUACAGAUAGAGUUCUGGGAAAGCUGCCUUUACUAAGAACUCUUACCUUUUGGCGGUUUUGGUCAGUUUUCCCAGGAUCCUAUCUGCAGGUUCCAGAGCAAGUGAGGGAUCCCAGCCAUGCCUGUGCGGCUGCCAGAAACGAUAAGAAAGGGAAAAGGUCACUUCCCUUUACCCUUCCAACUUCUCAGCUGGGCCCUUGUAACAAAAGAGCGACGAACAAGAGAAAAGCACAUACAUUCAUCUGAAAUACGUUUUACGUGACCUGGAAGCCUUUAUAAAGGGAAUGAAGACCUAAUGAGGCAGUCACACCUGAGUGCUGCUAUCCAUGUCACAGCUGCAGCAACGCUGGAUCCUUUCACCCACUGUGCCCGGCAGUGAACCUGCGUCCUGGGGCUUGGAGAGACAACUUCUAUCCCGUUUGCACAAAAGUGGGAACUCUGAGGAAGCUUUUCUCUAACCCCUCCUUACAGGCUCUCAGAAACGCUCUGUCCCAUUCCUUUACUGCACUUCCUCCAGUUGUAGUUAGACGUGUGUUAUUGUGAUUAUCUGAUUAUCCUAUUUGUCUCCCUCCAUAGCCUGUAAAGCUCCAGAAGGGCAGGCCCAUGUCUAUUUUUUGCUCUCCACGGUGUUCCCAAGGCCUGGUGGAGUAGAUGCUCGACAAGGAAUAAGGACUGUGAAUGCAACUUUUGAGGACAGGGACCAGAAAGGCUCCAUUGGAAAUUUCAGAGCCUGCACAAUGAACAGCGUUAAGGCGGCAGUGUACAAAGAGAGUUCAUUUAUCCACUCCCAGAUGGCUAAACGUACGUGAGAUCACGUGUUAGAGGCUGAGGGUCACCAUGGUGAGUGAGAUUCAACCUCAUGGCUUUAAGUCAUGACGACACGGUGUAAUAGCACGCUUCCCUUAUAUGCCCAUGGCUUAGAUUGCAUCCAGGCUACUCUCCCACUUGCCCGUUCCAACCUUUUGUUUAUUGUCACUCUGGCAGGGUCAUCCCUCGGCCCCAAACAAGUUUGGCUUCUGUCUGGAAAACCCCCUUUUGUUGUGGCAUGGCAGCCAUAAAACAUUCUGGUGGCCUGAUCUCACAACUGCCUGUAAGAAAUACUCUGCUGGCCAGAGUGACCAGCUACUCAGGCUGCCCUCCUAGAACUGGCGCCUGGCUGUAGAGCCCUGGGAAGACCCCUGGGGGGGGGGUUGUACCACAGCCUCUGGGAGGUCUGGGCAAGGUCAUGUACAGGUAGGGGGAGAAGGCACUUCAAAGCCUGGGGUCUCUGUUUGCCCCAGGCAGUUCCUCUGGCUGGCUUUCUGGACCUUUCAGCUUCACACUUAAGCUCCAGCUGUGACACAGGAACCAUCCGUUCCAUCAGUGGGACUGCAAAUGGAGCAGCUCACCUUUGCACCCUGCUACAGAGCAGAAAAACCCGGCCAUAAGCCAGUGUUCCGCAUUUUUGUAUUUAUAUCCAGAUCAUCUUCCCCACUGGGCACUUCACCAUGAUUUUCCUUCUGUUUCCCUGAUUCUUUGGCCUCUUUUGUUACAGACUCUAGCAACUAUUUGCUUCAUUCUCUCUGUACUUGAUGAGUCAUCUGGGCAAUCCUCUGGCUUACCAACCCCAGGCCUUCCCCAUCUCUCUCCCUCCCUCGUGGGUCUCCUUGGCUUACUACACUGGUGGCAUCAGGUUACACACAAUCCUGCCAGGGAACAUCGCCAUGCAGCCGGCCCCAUUCUGUCAGCUCCCUCUGCAAAUCCUCUGGUAGCUGUGACUGGCUUGCUCUGAAUCCUCUUGUGAUUGGCAGCUUCUGGCUCUGAGCAGAAUUUGUUCCAUGCAAUUUUAAGGUGGCAGAUUAUUUUUACAUCUUUAGGGUGGAGAAUGGACUAUUCAUAACUCGAGAUCCCAGAUUUUUUUUUUUUAGGGCCAUAUGGAAGUUCUCAGGCUGGGCGUCGAAUUGGAGCUGCAGCUGCCAGCCUACACCAUAGCCACAGCAACGCCAGAUCUGAGCCACAUCUUCAACCUAUGUUGUAGCGCACGGCAAUGCCAGAUUCUUUAACCCACUGAAUGACGCCAGGGAUUGUACCCGCAUCUUCAUGGAUAUUAGUCGGAUCCUUAACCCGCUGAGCCACAACGGGAACUCUGAGAUCCCAGAUUAUAUGCAGAGACCUGUCCUUCUGGAUAAAUUCUACUAGUAUAUUGGACACUUAGCCACUGUCUGAUUUUUCCCAAGGAAAAAAAGAACGUACAGAGGAAAGAAAAGGUCUAUGGGGUGCUUUAAAGUAUCAAAGGAAAUGUGAAAACUUGUACACUUUGGAAAAUGUCCUAUUUUUAAGACCUAUUCCCAGGAGUGCAGAGCUAAGUGGAUUCAGUGAACCCCAGCUUUUCACUGGAACCCCAGACUUCAAAACCACUUUGGUUGGUCAGUUAUCACUGCUAGUCUCCAUUGCCAGGUUGAAAUAUUUAUUGAAAAAUUGAAAACACAGAUGCAAUGUAUUAUACAAAGGAAAGUCUUAAUACCAUAAUAAAAGUACUGUUGGAAGGAAACAAAGCCAGUGGCUACCUGCCCUGGGAAGGUAGGCACUCAGUGAAAAAUGAAACCCAUUUAUAGGAACUAUUCUAAUGGCAAAUUGGGGGAAAAGGUUAAAAACAGAAGAAAAACAAACCCGAUCCCAUCCCUGCAAACCUAAAAGUGGAAGUUUGUUGUAAGUUUGAGACACCUGUGUCAUCACCAAGAUUUAUCUGAACCCCCUCGGUUUGUCCCUAUGAGUAGUUAUCAGCUUAAUUUAGGGCCUUCAAACCUGAGGUAGUUGAGGGGCACCUGAAAGACAUGUCUGGAAAUCACCUACUCUCAGAAUCGGACCCAACGAUGUUUGACCAAUUGUUUCACGUUGCGUUGCUUUGGCUCCUGGGGCGAGAGGCUGAGUUUUCACUGUAUUUGGUCUGGACCUGGGAGACUAGAGCAGCAGAGAGCUGGCCCAGUUCGCUGUGUGGAUGGCUGGCAGGCCCGAGGUGGUGGUUUUCUACGUGACAGGCAGUGUGGUCUCUGAAGGACCAAGGAUGGCAGAGAGGGCCAAGCCGGACUGGGUGCGAGGCCAAUGCUAGGACGGAAGGCUUUCGUUGGCGGGAUUUCCAGAGAUUUGGAGAGGUGAUAGAAGGUAGCAAGAACUUUGCCACUUAAUAACAACCAGGGCUAAGUGGAGCCAGGAGACCCUGCUAGACUAGGAAGCUGGCCGGACAGCUCCUUGGUGAGAGGCUGAAGCGAAUCACCCAGACUGAAUGCCAUGCACUCAACCCCCUAUGGUACCUGGUGUAAACCCUGCCGUCUGACCAAGAAAGG